UACGGAGGGAGCUAGCGUUGUUCGGAAUUACUGGGCGUAAAGCGCACGUAGGCGGCUUUUGUAAGUUAGAGGUGAAAGCCCGGGGCUCAACUCCGGAACUGCCUUUAAGACUGCAUCGCUUGAAUCCAGGAGAGGUGAGUGGAAUUCCGAGUGUAGAGGUGAAAUUCGUAGAUAUUCGGAAGAACACCAAUGGAGCGAAAGCAGCUUUCUGGGGACGGUACUGACGCUGAGA
rnacentral:rRNA from 1 species